rnacentral:rRNA from 1 species
GAUGAACGCUGGCGGCGUGCUUAACACAUGCAAGUCGAACGGAAAGGCCGAAGCUUGCUUCGGUACUCGAGUGGCGAACGGGUGAGUAACACGUGGGUGAUCUGCCCUGUACUUCGGGAUAAGCUUGGGAAACUGGGUCUAAUACCGGAUAUGACGAUCUCUUGGAUGGGGUUGUGGAAAGCUUUUGCGGUAUGGGAUGAGCUCGCGGCCUAUCAGCUUGUUGGUGGGGUAAUGGCCUACCAAGGCGUCGACGGGUAGCCGGCCUGAGAGGGUGUACGGCCACAUUGGGACUGGGAUACGGCCCAGACUCCUACGGGAGGCAGCAGUGGGGAAUAUUGCACAAUGGGCGCAAGCCUGAGGCAGCGACGCCGCGUGGGGGAUGACGGCCUUCGGGUUGUAAACUCCUGUCGCAAUCGACGAAGCCUUUUGGUGACGGUAGGUUGAGAAGAAGCACCGGCUAACUACGUG